rnacentral:rRNA from 1 species
AGAACGAACGCUGGCGGCAGGCCUAAUACAUGCAAGUCGAACGCACUCUUCGGAGUGAGUGGCAGACGGGUGAGUAACGCGUGGGAACCUUCCCAAUGGUACGGAAUAACUCCGGGAAACCGGUGCUAAUACCGUAUAAGCCCCUCGGGGGAAAGAUUUAUCGCCAUUGGAUGGGUCCGCGUCGGAUUAGCUAGUUGGUGGGGUAAAGGCCUACCAAGGCAACGAUCCGUAGCUGGUCUGAGAGGAUGAUCAGCCACACUGGGACUGAGACACGGCCCAGACUCCUACGGGAGGCAGCAGUGGGGAAUAUUGGACAAUGGGCGAAAGCCUGAUCCAGCAAUGCCGCGUGAGUGAUGAAGGCCUUAGGGUUGUAAAGCUCUUUUACCCGGGAUGAUAAUGACAGUACCGGAGAAUAAGCCCGGCUAACUCCGUGCCAGCAGCCGC